AGAGGAGAAAAGAUGCCAGUACUCCCGAUCUCCACCCCUGAGGUGGAAUAAUGGAGAUUGAAAUCGUCGAUCCUACAGUCCUUCGAGAAGGAUUCGGCAACUAUCACCUUCUAGGCAGUACGAUAGCUAUAUACCCCUGAAUGUUCUUCAAAGAGAGAUAUUGUUACAAGUAAGAUAUGAGUUACCUGAGCCUCGACUGAUGAGGAUAAAAUCGAAAUACCAUCGAGAUUUGAAUAGAUACUACUUUUACCAUCAUGACCACGAUCACGAUACUGAAGACUACCACCAACUCUGCGAUGA
rnacentral:lncRNA from 1 species